UACGGAGGGUGCAAGCGUUAUCCGGAUUCACUGGGUUUAAAGGGUGCGUAGGUGGCUUUGUAAGUCAGUGGUGAAAGCCCGGAGCUCAACUCCGGAACUGCCAUUGAUACUGCUUAGCUUGAAUCAACUUGAGGUGGAUGGAAUAUUACAUGUAGCGGUGAAAUGCUUAGAUAUGUAAUAGAACACCGAUUGCGAAGGCAGUUCACUAAGGUUGUAUUGACACUGAGGCACGAAAGCGUGGGGAUCAAACAGG
rnacentral:rRNA from 1 species